AUUCAAGUAGUUUAUAAAAAAUAUUGAUUUGUGGUGUCAAAGAAAUAAAGUAAAAUAUUUUGAAUAA
rnacentral:tRNA from 1 species